rnacentral:rRNA from 1 species
AGGAAUAUUGGUCAAUGGACGAGAGUCUGAACCAGCCAAGUCGCGUGAGGGAAGACUGCCCUAUGGGUUGUAAACCUCUUUUAUAAGGGAAGAAUAAGUUCUACGUGUAGAAUGAUGCCUGUACCUUAUGAAUAAGCAUCGGCUAACUCCGUGCCAGCAGCCGCGGUAAUACGGAGGAUGCGAGCGUUAUCCGGAUUUAUUGGGUUUAAAGGGUGCGUAGGCGGUUUAUUAAGUUAGUGGUUAAAUAUUUGAGCUAAACUCAAUUGUGCCAUUAAUACUGGUAAACUGGAGUACAGACGAGGUAGGCGGAAUAAGUUAAGUAGCGGUGAAAUGCAUAGAUAUAACUUAGAACUCCGAUAGCGAAGGCAGCUUACCAGACUGUAACUGACGCUGAUGCACGAGAGCGUGGGUAGCGAACAGGAUUAGAUACCCUGGUAGUCCACGCCGUAAACGAUGCUCACUGGUUCUGUGCGAUAUAUUGUACGGGAUUAAGCGAAAGUAUUAAGUGAGCCACCUGGGGAGUACGUCGGCAACGAUGAAACUCAAAGGAAUUGACGGGGGCCCGCACAAGCGGAGGAACAUGUGGUUUAAUUCGAUGAUACGCGAGGAACCUUACCUGGGUUUAAAUGGGAAAUGUCGUAUUUGGAAACAGAUAUUCUCUUCGGAGCGUUUUUCAAGGUGCUGCAUGGUUGUCGUCAGCUCGUGCCGUGAGGUGUCGGGUUAAGUCCCAUAACGAGCGCAACCCUUACCGUUAGUUGCUAGCAUGUAAUGAUGAGCACUCUAACGGGACUGCCACCGUAAGGUGAGAGGAAGGCGGGGAUGACGUCAAAUCAGCACGGCCCUUACACCCAGGGCUACACACGUGUUACAAUGGCCGGUACAGAGGGCCGCUACCAGGUGACUGGAUGCCAAUCUCAAAAGCCGGUCGUAGUUCGGAUUGGAGUCUGUAACCCGACUCCAUGAAGUUGGAUUCGCUAGUAAUCGCGCAUCAGCCAU